UUCCAGUUUGAUAUUGACUUGCACUAGAACAAACUUUCAUACUCAACGCCAUUUAGCCCAAGCUCCCGUCAUCUGCCUAAGCGACACACACACCCUAUCGUCUGCCUUUUCUUCACUUCAACUUGCAAAGAGCAACCCUCGGCUAUGUUGCUCAACCCAGUUUUGCCCUAAUGGUAUUCUAAGAUAUGUACUUCCUUUCCCCCUAGCGCAAAGGGAGGAUCCUUGACCGACGCUGGGUUGGCUACGUACCAGAAUCCCCUUAACUAGCAGUGUUUGCAUUGACAUUGAUGUACCUGUAUUUCCAUUCACAGGGUGAAAAUCAUUUUUCUCAAACAUCGGGUCGGGUCAUUGUGAUAGCCUGGCUUAUUAGGGAUGAUAGACUACUCAUAUCAAUAAGGAAUUCCUUCUUUUCCGGAAGCCCAUUCGAACGGCUUGGAGUAGUUCUAAGAUUGGUGACCGACCGGGAAGUUGAUUCGGGAUGCGCAUGAGUGAGGACAAAGUGCGCAGAAAAGACUAGUAUUGAUAUGUGGGACCAGUC
rnacentral:lncRNA from 1 species